rnacentral:rRNA from 11 species
CCUAAAGGCCUAGGCAUCCUAAAGCCACUGGGUUCUGUCUGAUCUUGGCAGCUAAGCAGGGUCAGUCCUGGUUAGUACUUGGAUGGGAGAUAGCCAACAAAUGCCAGAUGCUGUAAGCU